rnacentral:rRNA from 1 species
AACGCUGAAGAGAGGAGCUUGCUCUUCUUGGAUGAGUUGCGAACGGGUGAGUAACGCGUAGGUAACCUGCCUUGUAGCGGGGGAUAACUAUUGGAAACGAUAGCUAAUACCGCAUAACAAUGGAUGACACAUGUCAUUUAUUUGAAAGGGGCAAUUGCUCCACUACAAGAUGGACCUGCGUUGUAUUAGCUAGUAGGUGAGGUAACGGCUCACCUAGGCAACGAUACAUAGCCGACCUGAGAGGGUGAUCGGCCACACUGGGACUGAGACACGGCCCAGACUCCUACGGGAGGCAGCAGUAGGGAAUUUUCGGCAAUGGGGGCAACCCUGACCGAGCAACGCCGCGUGAGUGAAGAAGGUUUUCGGAUCGUAAAGCUCUGUUGUAAGUCAGGAACGAGUGUGAGAGUGGAAAGUUCACACUGUGACGGUAGCUUACCAGAAAGGGACGGCUAACUACGUGCCAGCAGCCGCGGUAAUACGUAGGUCCCGAGCGUUGUCCGGAUUUAUUGGGCGUAAAGCGAGCGCAGGCGGUUUGAUAAGUCUGAAGUUAAAGGCUGUGGCUCAACCAUAGUUCGCUUUGGAAACUGUCAAACUUGAGUGCAGAAGGGGAGAGUGGAAUUCCAUGUGUAGCGGUGAAAUGCGUAGAUAUAUGGAGGAACACCGGUGGCGAAAGCGGCUCUCUGGUCUGUAACUGACGCUGAGGCUCGAAAGCGUGGGGAGCGAACAGGAUUAGAUACCCUGGUAGUCCACGCCGUAAACGAUGAGUGCUAGGUGUUGGAUCCU